UUUUUUUUUUUUUUUUUUUUUUAAUGUGAAAUAGGUUAUAAAGAAAUUCUAGAAAAGGCUAUUGCUCUUCUCUGAGGAUUUUAGAAAUUCCAUUCUGGUUUGCUGCAUCUAGAAUAAGCUUUAAUUACCUCUGUUCUUGAAGGUCUUAUGUAUCAUCUUAUUUAGAUUUCCUUUGAAACCAUAGCAUUCACUGCCCCAGGUAGUUAACACUUUAGAAUAAGAGAUACUGCAGGUCUUACUGAUGCAGAAGAGCACAGUGUGAAUUUUUAAUGGGAUCUACUCACUGUAUCCCUUUUCUACUUGGGCAUAGAGCUAGUUUCAGAGAAAGAACAGAAGGUGACAGGAUUAAAAACAAACAGAAGGAAAAUGGAGUAGUUGUCAAUCAAGCAAUAUUAGCAGCCAUCUCCUAAGGGUAUAAAUGGUAUGUUUCUGUUAUAUCUCAUUUCAGUAAGGGCUAGUGUAAUAAGGGGGUAAAAAGAGCCUAGAAGACAUGGUAGGGGGGUGGGCACAGACAGGGAGAUAUAAUCAGACUGACAAAGUUAAUAUAUAUUCUCUAUGAAAGAGGCGUCUCCAGGGUCAUGGUUUCAGUGUUGAACAAAACUCCAGAAAGUUUAGAGAGCUAGAUUGAGUCAGAAUUGAUUUUUCUCUGUUUACUACAUUCCCUAGGUGAAAAACUAAUGAACCAAGGCUAAAGCAUAAAAAAAGGAUAGGUUACUUAGAAAGCUGUGAUAAAAAUACCAUCCAUGAAGAUCAGGAAUGAACUUUCAUGCUUCAGAGCAGGCACCUUACUAACCACUGAGAGAAGGGAAAAAGAAAUGUACUGACAGUGCAGAGCAUGGUCUGUGAUGAGAAACUGUUCCAACCAGAAAGCUCGUGGUAAUCACAAAAGUGCAAGUCUAUAUGGACACCUCUUAACCAGAAGGUAAGUAAGUAUAUGACUACAGGAAUUUUGACGGGUCCAGAAAUUCUGAGGUAAAUAAUUUAAUUUAAAACAAUAAUUUCUAGGGAAAAAUGCCAGAAGCCAGAAUCUUAGGUUGUUAAUUAGGACUAUGAGAGAGAGAUUCAGGGCUCGAAGGCCCACUAGCUUGGUUAAAUACAUCUCAGCAAUAUGAUAUAAUGCUUUCCUUCCAUAACUCUUCUCAAUCAACCCUGACAGAGGCACCACAUGAAAAGAUACAUGUUCUUUGGUUCCAGAGCUUCAUGUUUGUUCUUCAUAAUGCCAUAUAAGAAGACUUGGACUCUGCUUUACAUCCUGUUUACGCAGACCUUUCUUGUUUCUUUUUCCAAAAAGUAAAUGGAACAAAACCAUUUAACUCCGUUUACUGUCCUACCCUUUCAUCACAGAAAAUCCAAAGCAAUCUUUCAUCUCACUCUCCUUUGGAUCCAGGAAGAGUGAGGAAAUAAGAACUGUUUGAUCAGAAAUAAAGAGGUCAUUUUGAGUGCUGCAGAUAGUCAAUGAAAAAGUUGCUAAUUAAAGAUGGCAGAGAUUUUUCCAUGUUUCACUUUUUUUCUCUUAUUGCUAUUCCAUUUAUCAAAGCCUUUCUAUAGAAUUCUACUAUGUGAUAGACAACAAUUCUAAAUGUGAUUAACAACAUUUUGGAAAAGUUUAUUAUAAGCAGAGUUGAAACUACAGAACAUGUAUGGCACACAUCCUACUCCAUCUCAUGUUGAAUUAUACAAGUAGAUUAUGUCAUUAAAAAUACACACAGGCUCCAUAACCUGGUGGUUACAACAUUUAUCCAUGAAAUUAAAUUCAAUAUACUUAAUAAAACUUACUCUCAGGUUAUUGAGAUUAUAGGGUAGGUUUGACUGUAAUCUGUCUGUCCAUAUCAAGUUUUUCAGCUUCACUUCCACACUGGCUAAAGUAAAAUCUGUUUCUUCUUAUAAACUAAUCCAUUUUGGAUUGGAAACUUGUUUCUCUUUGAAUUUUACUUUCACAAUGUAGAAAGUGCAGCACUGAUAUUUUUCUUCAAACUAAAACAAUAGAGUGAGUAAUUAAAGAAAAUCCUAGCUAUUCCUUUUGUUCUUCUCUUUUGUGUUCAUGUUCCUCAGAUUUGUCACUGAUGUGCAAUCUACCUAUGAUGAUUAUAGAAUGCCCAUAAAAACUUCAGGGGUUUACAAUUGUAAAAAUAAUGAAGCCAUUCAAAAUAGCUUAGAAGGAAAAGAAGAUGCUAAAGGGCUAUAAUACUGGUAUAUAUGUCCAUAACAAAAACAUCAGGUCAGCAAUGUAAACCUACUCACUUUUUCUAAAAACAAAAAGACUAGCAGGGAGAAAACUGAAGUAGGAUGGGCAGAAGUUCUGAAGUGAAGAAGGACACAGGAGCUAGCAGAUAGUGGUAUCUUCCCUUACUCUAUUUUUCUGUUUCGUUUGGGGAAAAAAAAAAAAUACAAACUCCUUUCUUCUUUAUAAUUCAAAGGGCAUACUCAGGAAACAUAAAAACACCUGAAAUGUGUGAACCAUGAUACAGUUUAUGCUAGUUAGAGUCUUCAAAUUUAGCCAACAGGAUGGUAGGAUUCUCCCUCCAGAGAGAUAUUCAAAGGCCAUCUAGACAUGUGCAAACUGCUCUAGAUAUCUCUUGCUUAAUCAGGGCAGAUGGAGCUGAUGACCUUCAGAGACGCGUUCCAACCUCCACCUUUCUGAGAUUCUGUGAUUCUGUGAAUUCAAAAGUAUGUCAGAAGAUAGAACCAGAUAGUAGUUCUGCCAGUGCUCUGAGCUACUGUGUUAGAGCAAUGGCAAAAGCAGUUGACUGAAUCUUUACAUUACCCGUGAUGGAUGGAUACAAAUUCAGCUUUCACCAAAGAACCACACAGGUCUCCCAUCCACUGACUUUUUUUUUUUGCUUUUUUUCUCUUCAAUAAAGGCCAUUUCAGCAAAAGGUUUACAAUAGAAAACUCAUAUUGUCAAUAGAUACGCCUAACCUGCAAAAGAGAGGAUACUCACAAGAUACUAGCUUUUUCAAAAGUAGUCAACUGUAACUUUUAAAAAUAUUUUUUUUUCUGGCUGUAUUGUGACAGUUUGCUUUAUGAUGUCAUGCCUGGGCAAUUAUAAAGCCAUAAUUGCAUAGCUAUGACUCAUUGCAAACCAAUCAGUGCAGUCGGUUUCCUAAUGCUAUUUUCUACUAUAACAUUGUUAUUGUAAAGGCAGGAAUUCUUUAAUCAUCAAGUUGAAUGUCUGCCAAGAGCUCAUUUUAUUGACCAUUAAACAUGCUUCUGUUUCGAAGAAAUGCUACAACACCACUGUUUCCAAUAGCAGACUUGUUCUGCAGUAGUUUUUCAUAGGACAAUCUGCAACAAAAUUAUAGGUCAAAUAAAGUGUUUAUCAUCUGCAAAUGUACUGGACAUUCAUAAAUGAAGGGCCUAGUCCAAAAAUGUAUUAAAAUCUCUAGUAAAAUUCACUGAUUUAUAAAAGUGUUGUUAUCAAACCCCAUACAAGGAAAAAACAAAAUUCAUAUUUUUGUUGACAACUGCUAACCUUCCUCAAAAAAUAUCUAUUUCAAAAAGUAAAACCAACAUCUGCAUCCAAAUACCACAGUGACAUGUCUUUUGAUGUUCAGUAGCUCUUGGCAACUCAAAUAUAAUUUUCAGUAAGGUUACAGUUUUAGAACAUUAGAUGGAAAAUGGUAAAUCCACAGCUGGAUUGUGGGAAUCUUUUUUAAUGACAGUAUUACAGCUUCCUCCCUUUGUCACUGGAUUUCAUGUGAAGAACAGCAUGAUGCCUUUUAUUCAGAGAAUCAUUUUCCACCUGCUGCAAAGGGGUAUAUUGUUGGCAGAUACUUCAAUGAUCUGAAAAUUGAGAUGAAGUAAAAAUAUACAGAUAGCCAUAUUGACUUUAGUGGCAGAAUGAUGAGUUGAUUCUCAGCCUCUGGAAUGCAUGGAUGAAACCUUAUGCCAGUACCUAAACACAUCUACAGUUGUAAUUGCAGCCCC
ensembl:lncRNA